AGCUGGGUAGCUAUGUGCGGAAGGGAUAAGUGCUGAAAGCAUCUAAGCAUGAAGCCCCCCUCAAGAUGAGAUUUCCCAUAGCGUUAAGCUAGUAAGAUCCCUGAAAGAUGAUCAGGUUGAUAGGUUCGAGGUGGAAGCGUGGUGACACGUGGAGCUGACGAAUACUAAUAGAUCGAGGACUUAACCA
rnacentral:rRNA from 1 species